rnacentral:rRNA from 1 species
AUUGAACGCUGGCGGCAGGCUUAACACAUGUAAGUCGAACGAGUGGCGGACGGGUGAGUAAUGUUUGGGAAACUGGCUUAUGGAGGGGGAUAACUACGGGAAACUGUAGCUAAUACCGCGUACCAUCGGAUGUGCCCAAGUGGGAUUAGGUAGUUGGUGGGGUAACGGCUCACCAAGGCGACGAUCCCUAGCUGGUCUGAGAGGAUGACCAGCCACACUGGGACUGAGACACGGCCCAGACUCCUACGGGAGGCAGCAGUGGGGAAUAUUGCGCAAUGGGGGCAAGCCUGAUGCAGCCAUGCCGCGUGAAUGAAGAAGGCCUUCGGGUUGUAAAGUUCUUUCGGUGGCGAGGCGUUACCCACAGAAGAAGCACCGGCUAACUCCGUGCCAGCAGCCGCGGUAAUUC